rnacentral:rRNA from 1 species
CUUCGCGUCCUCGAGGAUCUCUGAGUACAUGGUCGCGUAGCAGCGGUCGGGCACCAUCGCAGUGCAGUCCUGGAGCUGGUCGUCCUUAUUCCACAUCUUGCCGCCGUCGCGAAUGACGUUCGGCAUCGAGGCGUCGACGAUGACGUUGUUGGGCACAUGCAGGU